rnacentral:rRNA from 1 species
CAACCUGCCGAUGACUCGGGGAUAGCCUUUCGAAAGAAAGAUUAAUACCCGAUGGCAUAGUUCUUCCNCAUGGUAGAACUAUUAAAGAAUUUCGGUCAUCGAUGGGGAUGCGUUCCAUUAGGUUGUUGGCGGGGUAACGGCCCACCAAGCCUUCGAUGGAUAGGGGUUCUGAGAGGAAGGUCCCCCACAUUGGAACUGAGACACGGUCCAAACUCCUACGGGAGGCAGCAGUGAGGAAUAUUGGUCAAUGGACGAGAGUCUGAACCAGCCAAGUAGCGUGAAGGGUGACUGCCCUAUGGGUUGUAAACUUCUUUUAUACGGGAAUAAAGUGAGGCACGUGUGCCUUUUUGUAUGUACCGUAUGAAUAAGGAUCGGCUAACUCCGUGCCAGCAGCCGCGGUAAUACGGAGGAUCCGAGCGUUAUCCGGAUUUAUUGGGUUUAAAGGGAGCGUANGCGGACGCUUAAGUCAGUUGUGAAAGUUUGCGGCUCAACCGUAAAAUUGCAGUUGAUACUGGGUGUCUUGAGUACAGUAGAGGCAGGCGGAAUUCGUGGUGUAGCGGUGAAAUGCUUAGAUAUCACGAAGAACUCCGAUUG